rnacentral:rRNA from 1 species
GGAUGCGAUAACCAUCACUAAAGCACCGGAUCCCAUCAGAACUCCGAAGUUAAGCGUGCUUGGGCGAGAGUAGUACUUGGAUGGGUGACCUCCUGGGAAGUCCUCGUGUUGCAUUCC